rnacentral:rRNA from 1 species
GGCGAGUGAGCGGCAACAGCUCAAUUUGAAAUCUGGCGCAAGCCCGAGUUGUAAUUUGCAGAGGAUGCUUUUGGCGCGGUGCCUCCUGAGUUCCCUGGAACGGGACGCCGGAGAGGGUGAGAGCCCCGUACAGUUGGACACCAAGCCUUUGUAAAGCUCCUUCGACGAGUCGAGUAGUUUGGGAAUGCUGCUCAAAAUGGGAGGUAAAUGCCUUCUAAAGCUAAAUACCGGCCAGAGACCGAUAGCGCACAAGUAGAGUGAUCGAAAGAUGAAAAGCACUUUGAAAAGAGGGUUAAACAGUACGUGAAAUUGUUGAAAGGGAAGCGCUCGUGACCAGACUUGCGCCCGGCGGAUCAUCCGGCCUUCUGGCCGGUGCACUCCGCCGGGCUCAGGCCAGCAUCGGUUCUUCCGGGGGGACAAAAGCGGCGGGAACGUAGCUCCUCCGGGAGUGUUAUAGCCCGCCGCAGCAUACCCCCGGGGGGACCGAGGACCGCGCUUCGGCAAGGAUGCUGGCGUAAUGGUCACCAGCGACCCGUCUUGAA